rnacentral:misc_RNA from 1 species
AUGAGAGAGGGGCAAAAGUGCAUUACCUUCAUCACUCCAACAGCACCGAACCUCAGUAUGACUUCUUGCGUACGCCGCAGUCGUUCAACUGAGCCAUUGGUCUUGUCUGUUAACAGCUUUGUGCGUUACUGGAAACCAGUUGAAAGGUCAGACUGGGCCAGAUACUCUUAUUAUGGGCCGGAGUACUGUCGACUGAUUGCAACUCCUUUCAUCUACUCCACCUGGCCGGAUCAUAUCAAGCCACUAUCACGUGGGUGUUUUGGUACACAUCCAUACAACGAAUUACCUGCAACUGUCUCACACAUUGUCUACUGAAUGCCUCUCAGUACAAGUACAUGCUGCACCGAUGCAUAGAGGUAUCUGUAACGAAGAUGCUGGGUCUUUUGAUCUCUUGUUCACGACAUUGACAUAUAUGAGUCCCUGACGCUUGGGAGUAAUGUAAUUGAGACUUGCAUUGUAUUUGUACUCACUUGAUAUACCAAUACACGCAUUC